ensembl:misc_RNA predicted gene, 27695
UGCCUGGGUCUUCAGGAGCUGAAGAACCGGGAAACCAUGCAACUGAGGCAAGCCUUGGGCUGUUUUAGAGGCGCUAACAUCCGAAGAGCCUGUUCCUGG